GAGGCGACGGGACGGCGCUGGAGGCGACGCCGACUCCACCCUCCCGGCGGCGCCCCUCCGUCCAAGAGUUUAUCCCUCCAGCGGCGCCCUUCCGUCCAAGAGUUUAUCCCUCCGGCGGCGCCCCUCCGUCCAAGAGUUUAUCCCUCCAGAGACGCCCCCUCGUGCCAUUGAUCAUCUGGUUUCCCGAGAUGAACUGCACCCUCAGAUCCACGGACAGGAGCAGAUCUUUCUCUUCAAGCUAGUAGAAACUUUCCAACCGUCGUCAAAUCAGCAAUGACCUCGAAGAUGGCUGUUCAUGCACCAGUUCCGUCUUCUGUUCUUACAGAUGAUGUCUUGGUGCUGUUUUUAUCCAAGGACAGCAAGCAGAUGAGAGAGGAAUUCCUAGGCUACCUUCGACGCGAGCCACCUCUGCGUAAACAUCCUGUUCCAGGGGACAGCAGGUUACACAGCAGCAGCAUCCAGUCGUGCUACUAAUUCAACAGCUGCAGUUGUGGCCUGGAUGAUUGAGCUAAAUAAGCGGGGAUUUUCUUCGGAUGGCAAGCUGAAAGGGUCAGAUCUAGUUAUCGACCAAAUGGGACACCUCAGAGGUAAAUAUGAGCUUAUCCACAGGUUAUACAUUGUCAGUGCUCCAGGGACAUCAAAUGAUAUGGCCUCUGUUUCAAGAAUCAUUAAAUCUGAUGUCUACCAAUGUCCCCCAAACCAGUUGCCAGCUGAUUUUUUUUUUAGAAAGGAGGAUGACCCCCGGCCUCUGCAUCCGGGCGAUGCAUACGGCCACUUUAUUAAUUAUUCUCACAAGACCUUACAAAGUCAUACAACAGUAAGAC